UACAGAGGGUGCGAGCGUUGUCCGGAAUCACUGGGCGUAAAGGGCGCGUAGGUGGUGGCUUAAGCGUGCGGUGAAAGCUCGGAGCUCAACUCCGAGUCGGCCGUGCGAACUGGGCUCACUGGAGCAUAGUAGAGGCAGGUGGAAUUCCGGGUGUAGCGGUGGAAUGCGUAGAGAUCCGGAAAAACACCGGUGGCGAAGGCGGCCUGCUGGGCUAUGGCUGACACUGAGGCGCGACAGCGUGGGGAGCAAACAGG
rnacentral:rRNA from 1 species